CCUUUAUGGGUUCAACGGUAUCGAAGUUUAAAGCAAUGUCAUGAAGUUUAAUCAUGACAUCUGACCCCAUUAAGAUUAUAUGGGAGUAUUAUUUGCAUUUUAACUUUAUGUUUAAUCAUUUAGCAGACGCUUUUAUCCAUAGAGUCUUACAAAUGAGGAAUUCUACAAGCAAUUUACUGAAGACAUGCAGGGGACCAAAAUGUUUUUGGACACGUCCUGCCCACACCAUCUGCAUCUGAUGAUUGGACAUGGACACAGUUGUAUGACCCUGGAUUCACGAGUCCUCAGCCUUUUGAAGUGCAUGCAAAGUGGAUUCACAGCGCUGAAAACAGCGUCUUCUCGACAUGUCGACAGCACGAACCAAACUCUUCCAGGCCUCAGCUACAACUAGGACCGGUCAAAGUAGACGUUCACGGCCAGCCAAUGAAGACCAUUAUGCAAAUUUGUUACAUUGUUACAUACGUAUGUAACAGAAAGUGAGACUGGAAUUGCUGACGACUCGUUUCAGCAGUUCAGAAUCGAUUCUUUCUAGGGCUGCAAGAUUUAUCGCACUAUACGAAAAAUAACAUUGAACUUAAACAUGAUUAUCGCUUAAACUCAAUUCUUAGUGCGAUUAUGAAAUCGCAAAGGCUGCGAUCUUUUUUUUUUUUUUUUAAUGCGCAGCUUGUCAAUGAAAUAUGGCUCCAAAUGCUAAUCCAUCUGAAAGCACUGCGAGUUUGAAUCGCUUAUAAUGUACAUUUGAAAAAGAAACACGCAUCAAACAUCUUUCCAGACAUGAGAAGCAUUUAUUAACACCUUGUCCAAAAAAAGAUAACAUGUUUUUUACUCCAAACUCACUUCAUAACGACAGUUGAGCAUCCUUCUGUGAAAUGAUGUGGCUUCUUACACAGAAUAAGGCAGUCGUGUGUUUAUUAGUCAUGUUUAAUCAAAGCGUUUCAACCUUCUGUUUAUUCAGCUACAGCGAUAUGCGUGUUAUUUUUUUCUGCGGCAGGGCAUAUUUAGAGUUUCUGUGCAAGAGCGCCCUCUGACUUUUUAGAUGGAGAAGCAUUUACUACUGAUCACAGAGCCGUACAGCUCUGACAAGCUGUGCAUUAAAUAAUUGUAACCUUUGCCAAAUCACGUGCGAUUUAAUUGUGAUGAAUCAUGCAGCCCUAAUUCUUUCUUUUAGGAGACAGUAACUUAAUUUGUUGUGCACUUUGAUCUUUAAAACUUUGUAGACCUUUUACAUUCACAAACAGCUACAUAUGCAUGAAAUGUUUGAAAAAGCAUAAUAGGGGCACUUUAAAAUGUAGUCACAGUACCUAAAAAAAAAAAAAUGUACUGUUGUUUAAAAGUACUACUAAAACUGAAAUAAAGAGACUUGAAUAAACAGA